AAUACCACCUAAAAUGAUUAUAGAACAAAUUUAGUCAUGACUAUUAUUUAUCAGCAUCAACAAAUAAAUAAAAUUCUAAUAAUUUAAGCAUGUAAAAUAAUAUAAAGGUAGCUACAAGCAAAGGACAAGAACUCCCUUUAUCACUUGAAGGUUUUCAAAAAAAAUCCAUAACAGAGAAACAACAAAUAGUCUCGAAAGUGAUUGUAUCAUGAAUGGAUGUUCUAGGGUAGGCAAAAUCAGUUUGUCUCCAACAAA
rnacentral:lncRNA from 1 species